rnacentral:rRNA from 2 species
GAAGGGUGCAAGCGUUACUCGGAAUUACUGGGCGUAAAGCGUGCGUAGGUGGUUUGUUAAGUCUGAUGUGAAAGCCCUGGGCUCAACCUGGGAACUGCAUUGGAAACUGGCUUACUAGAGUGCGGUAGAGGGUAGUGGAAUUCCCGGUGUAGCAGUGAAAUGCGUAGAUAUCGGGAGGAACAUCUGUGGCGAAGGCGACUACCUGGACCAGCACUGACACUGAGGCACGAAAGCGUGGGGAGCAAACAGGAUUAGAUACCCUGGUAGUCCACGCCCUAAACGAUGCGAACUGGAUGUUGGGAGCAACUUGGCUCUCAGUAUCGAAGCUAACGCGUUAAGUUCGCCGCCUGGGAAGUACGGUCGCAAGACUG